GCAAAAUGGCGGACUCCCUUGAGAAAACGCCAGCUCUCAGAGUUAGUCAACUAGAUGCUUCAGAGCUAGACAGUGAAGUUGUACACAUAGUGAAGGCACAGCUAAACAAAUUGUUCAAAUACCACAAGAGUAACAUUUUGGUUACAUAUGAUCCGGAGGUAUCUGCACUGAUAAAGACCCUCAUAUGGAGAUUUACCAUAUAUGCUCAUGACAGCACUAUUGGGCAGCAGAUUUUAAACUUAAAAUAUAGUGGCUCUGAAGGACAGUCGUUAUGGAUGAGCAGACGGCAGAAGAUUCUGUAUGGUCUGAUUCUUAUCGUUUGUCCUUGGCUGAGGGAGCGGGCAGAAACCCUGGCCAGUUUUGUUGGAUUAUCAAAAUAUCAGGCCAAGAUCCGUAAAGUGUUGAGAUGGCUUGAUAUCUCCCUGAAGUUGGCGGCAGUGUGGAACUUCCUUGUCUUCCUUCAGAGGGGCGUGUACCAGACUAUCACAGAGAGACUGCUGGGGAUACAGGCCAUGUUUCCCUCCCGGCAAGGAAUCAGACAGGUCAGUUUUGAAUACAUGACAAGGGAACUACUUUGGCACGGAUUCUCAGUAAGUUUGAAAUUGCUACCAUACUUGUCAUCUAUGCUGAUUUUUUUUUGUACCAACAAUUUUAGUGCAAUUUUGUAAAAUUAGAAACAGUUAAGGUGGAAUAACACAUAGUCAUAAAAUGGCUGACCUCUGAUCGAAACGGCAUUUUGUUUUAUUAAAAGGAUUUUAUUGACGGCAACAUAUACUUACCUCAUAGCCGAGUGGAUAAAGUGUUGGGCUUGUGAUCCGUACAUACCGAGUUCAAAUCCCGCUGGGGCUUUUGUUUACUGAAUUGAUUUUUUUAGAUAUAAAUUUUUAUCCCCAAUUUGCAAAUUUUUGCUUACUUGACAUAUGUAUAGUUUAUUUAUCAUUAUAUCUUUCAUAAUCAAAUAAUGUACAGUUAAUUUGAGUGACUUUUACGAGGUGUGUUAUUCCACCUUAAAACCUUUUAUGUAUGGACAGAUAGGUGGUAUGUCUGUUUGUUUCCCCUGAAUUUCGGUGUGACAUAUUGCUUACAACACAUGUGUAUAUAUUUGCAUGUCCGUUGGAGGGUGGAGUGAGCCACUUCAUUAAGUGUUAAGUGCAACAUUUUCUUUAACAAACAGUAUGUAAAGAGGAGAAUAGAUGAGUCAAAAGCCUUGUACUCAAGUGACUCAUUUCUCCUCUUUGAGACUUUGUUUCUUUUAUAUACACAACUGAAUUUGAUGUCCCAUUGUAUUUAGCUCACCUGAGCUACAUGUACGAGGGUCAAUCAAAAAAUACGAAGACUUUUGUCAUAGCUAUGUUACUUAACGUCAUAUCAUUACUAAAUUUUGAAGACAUAAUUUAGCAAUAGUUUCAAACAAUUUGCAAGAAAAAAAGUUAAUUAAUUCCUUUAUUUCUAAUAAUUAUUUAGAAUCAAAUCCUGCAAAAAUGAGGUCACGGCGCACUGUCAACAUUUGUGUUAUGUCAACAAUAAACCAUAUAAUGUUGAAAGUAAUAUCUCUAUAAAUUGGGCUUAAAACCAAAUAACAUUGAAACCUCACAUUAAGUAUAGACAUGGAAUUCCAUGUUACAAAUAAUGAUGGGUUAAAUUUUUUUUUUCGAACAGAUAUUUGUAACUAAAGACAGGUAGUCCUCUUUAGAAUUGACUAAAAACAUCGACGUCACCGGACGUCAUGGCGCAACGAGAAGUACAAACCAAAUGGAUUUAACCCAGGAAAAAGCCGAUACAAGUUGUGAAAAUGCUCAAUGGUGCAAAAAUAAGUCAACAAUUAUUUGCAAGUUUGUGUUUAACUGUAAUAAAUUUUUUGGGGGUGGUGGUAAUUGUAUUUUGAAUAUAAAACAGUCCAAGAGAGAGUAGAAUAUCUGUAAAUAUUUUGUCAAAAAAUAAGUAACGUCAACCGACGUUUAGGGUUAUCCUUACUGUAAACUAAUAGAUACACGGUUAGAAAAUGAAAACUUCGAAGAACUAACUUAUGAUUCUCGAACAAAUGUGUGAAAAUGAGAUGUUAAGUGGUUCAGUGCCAUUUUAAAUUGUAAGGAGAAAGGCACAAGAGACUAAGCAUGAUAUAAAGAUGGGGUAUAUCAAUAAACUGUGCGUGUUUAAUCUUAACGUCAUGUUUUGAACGUAACAGUGCGCCGUGGUGACAAAACAUGUUGUUUUUAAAAAGGGGUAGCAAAAAUACCGUUUCAUCAAAUGGACUUAAACUUCGCAUAUCAAUGACAUAAGUGUUGAUGCACAGAUUAAUCUGUUAAGUAUGACUUUCAUGAAAAAAAUAUGAUAGACAGCCACAUUGUCUUCGUAUUUUUUGAUUGACCCUCGUAUUAGCUAAAUUGAACAUUUCUGGUCUGGCUGCUAUCCAUUUAUCUGUUCCCCCAUCAGUAAACGUUUUAUAUUUAGUUACUAACUUCUUCGAACUAGAGGUCCAUGCAUAUAAUACUUGAUAAUGUUAACAAUUAUCAUAGAAUAGAAAAUCUUUUUUUUUUUAAAAUGUGGUAUUAAUUUUUCAGGAAUUCCUGUUUUUCACCCUCCCACUGGUGAAUUUUCAACGAGUGAAAAACUUUGUGAGGCGACACAUUUUAAAUCACCAUGAGGACCCUGCUCUCGACGGCCUGAGGGUGAUGGAGUGUGCAGUGUGUGAGGAUGUCCCAACCAACCCCCAGGAGAUUGGCUGCCCCCAUUUAUUUUGUUACUACUGUAUACAGAGUAACUACAAAGCUGAUCCUGGUUUCUCAUGUCCCAGAUGUCGGACAAGUAUUCCAAGUGUUGACAGUAUCCGCCCAUACAGAACUGUUAUUUCAUAGCCUCUUUUGCAUUAUCACCAACAUUCAACAUAUAAGCCUUACGUCUUUCAAGAGAGAGAGAGAGAGAGAGAGAGAGAGAGAGAGAGAGAGAGAGAGAAAAGAAAAACGAGAAAGAGAGUUUGUUUUUGCUGAAAAAUAAAAUUUUGAAAAUUUG
rnacentral:misc_RNA from 1 species